AUAAUUGGUAUUUUCUAGAGUAUAAAAAGCCUAAGUAUUUAUAUAUAUGGAUUUUAUACCUGAAUUUAAUUCACAGGGUAGUCUUUGAAAAGAGGCUGUCUCCACGUUUUGGGAAGGAAAAUAAGCUUAGGUAAU
rnacentral:ncRNA from 2 species